AUUAGCUCUCAACCAUACCGCCUCCAUCGCACGACUGCACAACCGCUACUACCACCGCCACUGCCUCCACUACACCGUUGCUAAUCGAUGACUCUUUCGUCGGCAAGUCCUGCUUGCUUCUCAAAUUCGUUAGGUUCAAACUCAAGCAGUUUAACGGUUGAGGAUGGCCAAGACCUAGAGACUAGUCACGGUCGCAGCUCUGCAAUUCGCCUGCACGGAUGAUGUCGCCACCAACGCUGCUACCGCCGAGAGGUUGGUUAGAGCAGCUCAUGAGAAUGAUGCAAAUAUCAUUCUUAUACAGGUAAGAAGGUCAGACUUGAAUUGCAUAUUCACAAUGAAUGCAUUGGUAGAAGUUGUUCUUGCUUUGCCUUUCAUUUCACGAAUAAGGUCGUGGAGGUUGCAGUGGAGGUCGUGAGGAUGAGAGUGAGGAGAAUGCCCUUCAUUUGCGUUUGGGUUGUUGUUAUUGCUCAUAUAGAAUAAAGGGAUACACCUCGUCGGGUUCGGGCACACCACUUUGCGCUGUUUUGCACACGACAUCUAAGGUUAUGGCACACCAGGCGUUACGACGUUACAUUGUUGAAAUUUGUUUGUGUAACAGUUUUAUUCUUAUUCAAGUUCUUUACUCUUCAGACUGUGCACACAAAAUAUCCACGCGUAUAGCAUAUAUGCCACACAAUGUAUACAUGUUUGGCUCACAACAUACCAGACUGUGGCCGCAUAUUUGCAAAUUAUAAAUAAAAAAAUGCCAAAUCCAUUUUUGUUUA